UGCUGUUUGAUUCUGGAUGGAGUUACGUUUAGGAGCCUGGCAGCAAACUGGGGCACCUGUUCAAUUAGUGAUGAUGCCAUACUCUGUCCCGGAAAUAGAAAUUGUGAGUCCGGUUCCUCAUCCAGGAAAGGGGCAGAGCAUGGAAGAGCCAGGGCUGGGCGCCUACUCCAAGAUCACCGUGGGGAAGGGAUCUGGCCCAUGCCAAGAUUCUGCUGCUCCAUCAGGUCUCUUAAGUGCUCUGAAGCUCCAUGUUCUCGACUGUAAAUAACCAUGAUGCUGACUGCACCAGCUUAAUGUGAGGAUUAAAGGAAGUAUGGACCAUGGAAGACUCUGGAGCACAGAAGCUAUUUAAAUGUUUGUUGAAUCCACAUUGUAGUCUCUGAAAUAAUCUCGUGCUUUGCCCUGUCCUUCUCCUGGUAGUAAGGGGAGCCUGAGCAGUAGCCCUACCCCCCUGCCUGCUCCAUCCACCUCUCACCUGCUGUGGCCACCUUCUUGAAAACAGCAGCCUCUGCAUUCCUGGGCCACUUUCUCUGCUGUGUUUUAAUAACACAGCACUCAUCACUUUCUGAUAUGUGAUAAAUACAAUUAAAUUUCCACAAUGGCAA
ensembl:lncRNA HCG21 HLA complex group 21